rnacentral:piRNA from 1 species
UGAGCAGCUCAUUCUAAGACUCUGUUGGCGC